AAGAUCAUACUUUUAGGGAUCAUUUCUAUAGUAUGUAUCGCCAGGACAUCAGGUAAAACUGAUCCUGGACAACAAACCACGAUGACGAGUCAAAGUGGUCUCUCCUGAGCGUGAAGCAGGCCUUGGGUGCCGCCUUCGGGUGGCUGCCCUUGGUCAUUGAGGAUCGUUCCUUCUCCCUCACGGGGGAGUUGGAGGGAGAGAUCACAUUCAGAGUGGU